ACAAACAAAUCCCCUCUAUUCUCUCCAAAACAUCGUUCAGACCUGAAACCCUUCUCCCCCAUAACCAAGAUCUUCUACCUUCUCCACCGCCGGUUCACUUCCACAGCCGCACCUCCUUCGCACUCCGAACGACCGCCGGCUGCCACCUGCACCGGAAUCACUUCCCCUGUCGACCUUCUCCGUCAUCUCCGCCUUGAUACCUCAACCCUACUCCGCUGACCCGCUACUCGACGCGGUCGCUCACCUCCACUUCAUCAAUCGUCGACCACCGCCACUUCUCCUCCAUCUCACGCCGCCCUCUGGAACCACGAGUCACCAAGCCCCACUACCGACCAUCGUUUUCAACCGCCGGCUGCCACCUGAACCGGCAACCCACCACAGUCGAACGACCGCCGGUCUACGUCUUCAGCCGUCGGACUCGUCUCCGAUGUUCACCGACACCCCCUUCUACGACUCUGCCCGCAUAUAUGGUUUUGAAUACUCUCUGCAUUGUUAAAGAGAAAAGGGUAGCCCAACUGUCUCAAGAUCACCACUGUCCAAGCGUUCGCAUAAAACAUCUUCGACCCGAUCCUCUGCCGCCUUUGUAGAUGCCUUCCACAUAUUUUUCCGAGCCUCGAGGACGAUGCUAUAUCUUAAGCUUGGGGAGGUUGAGAUUUGAGGUAAUUUCUAUGUUCUCAUUUUAGCUUGCAUUACCUAGUUAGUUUGUAAAUAGCUGCAUUCUUCAUGUUCGUUGCAUUUAGGGUGUAUAUACAUGCAUAAAAAAAAUUCUUAAAAAAAAAUUAAAAAUAAAAAAAAACCGUUUCUGUUCCGCUGAAAAUGAUUUGUGAAAAAUGAGAGAUGAUAUAAAAUUUCUGGCAUGUCGAAGCUUAUGCGUGAAAUGGUAACUUUGGGGAAGAAAACAUAGAUAAUUCGGGAUGUGUUGAUAGGCUCGGCCCUAACUUAGGAACACCAAUGUUGGAUGCAAUAACCUUAAUUAUAUAUAUGUGUUUAGUUUCCCAUCUUGAUGCUUGUGGUCAAAGAUUGAUCCCGACCAAAAAUCGGUUAAGUUGCAUAUCCUCUAUCACACACCAUGUUCUCCAUAUCAUGACACCUCCGUAAUAAAGAGGUGAAAAAUUGACCUCAAAUUGGUGAAAAAUUGACCUCAUAGGUUAUUAUAGUUUAAAACAAAAAAAAAAAAAAAAAAAACAAAAAGAAAAAAAAAAGAGAAAAAAGAAGGGGUAAAAGAGCACAAUGUUUGCCAAAAAUUUGAAAAAAAAAAUCGAAAUCGAAAUAAAAAAAUAUUUGAGCAAAUUAGGGAGAAAAGUCCCGACCCCUUGAAAAACGGAAAAAAAAAGAUAAUAACUAUCGUGUCAUGGUCUGGAUGCAUGGUCGCAUCAAGUGUGAUUUUGGAUAUCUUCAAAAAGUCGUGAGGUUGGGUAGAUGUUGCCAUAGGUGUUGGGCGUGGGGACGAUUGAACCAUGUUGGUAAAUUUGUAUAUUAUUAAGCAGAAAGCAUUUGGUUGUGAUUAAGCGGGUUUGAGUUUAAAGGGAUACAAAAUAUCAACAAUCGCGGUUACACGUUUAAGUAUUUCCCGGGUUCGAAUGAAUGUAAUAGGAGUUGAUAUUGUUAGAUAUGAUCUCAUUACAAGUUUAUUUUCCGGAAUAAAAGAAGCGGGUUGAAAAAAAAAUAGUAAGCAUGCAUAUGUGUAUUGUUUUUCGUGUUUAUUUCUCGGAUUAUUCUUAUUCUUGACUUCCUUGAGGACAAGGAAAGGUUUAAGCUUGGGGAGAUUUGUUAGUUGCAUUUUUAGGCACGUUUUAUUGCAUAAUAAUAUUAAUAUUUCACCACAUAUCAUGCAUAUUUCAUAGUCAUACCUCCUUAUUUUGCGAAAUACGCGUUUUUGUGGAACGGAAUCUACUUUGGACAUUUUAAUGAUUUUGUAGAUGUGGAGCAAUCGCCAUAUAUCACAAUGGGCGUGGAAAAGCUUAAGAGGUAUUCAUAAUAAAACAAGAAGAGCAAAGCAGCCGUUGAUGCGAUCCAAUUUAUGUUCAAGCUCAGUCAAAAGGAACAAUGAGGUUAAAAGUUGGUAACUUAGUGGAAGGUGUAAGUUUAAAGCUCAAGAAAAUAAAGAUCUAAAUAGAAUCUACAAGGAGCUCGAAACCAGCAGCAUCCAACAAAAAUUGAAGUUAUGAAAGUGGGCUUUAGUUAAUGAAUUUUAGUUGGACUAAAAUUUGGAAAUGGAAAUUAAAGAAAUUGUUGGGCUGAUGAUGAGAAUGAGAAGCUGGCCUUAAUUAAAUUAGAGAUGAACCACAAUAAAGAAAAAUAAAGGCCCAUGAGAAGUAGGGAAUUGUUGGCUGGGAAUAAAAAAAAGGAUCACGAACAAUCUAAAAAAAACCCAUCUUUGACGGCUGCAAAUUCGAGUGGAGUUCGAAAGAAGCAACAAAUCAGAUUUUGGGAAGUGAUUUUGGUUUGUUAGUUUAUGCUUUGUUUUGUAUUUGACUUGAUUGUUUUAGCCACCAUGUCCGGCUAGACGUUUAUAGUUUCGACAUCGGGGCGUGUUUUCUUU
rnacentral:lncRNA from 1 species